GUUAUUCAUGUGAGCUUGUAGAGUUGGUUAUAAUUGGGUCUUUCCACAAUGCUACACUUGGAUGCUAGAUUGAGAUCCAUCAGUGCGAUUGGUUUCUCCGUUUUCUGUUCCAACCCUAUCGCAAAUUUGUUCAAGAACUUCUCCAUCUUCUAUGAAAGCUAAAACCAAGCUAAUUAUGCAGAAAAUUUAGAGGCAAUUCAGUUAAAAGAUUCAUUAUCCACAUGGAUGGCAAUCGUUGUGUGCAAAGCUCACAAGACGUUUCAAUUGUCAAACAGAAAUUCCAAUGCCCUCCAAAAACAUGUUCCGUCUUCCCUCCAUUUGACUCCUCCGCUGCUUAGUCCCAACUCUCUUCUGUCCAAAAUCUUAUCGAAGCUUUCAAGUCAUCUUCUCUGGCACUCGUUUCUUUUUACCCCUUUUUUUCCUUCAUUGUUCUUGAAGUAAUUGAGAUUAUAAAUGGUUCAAAUUGUGGGUAUUUGAUAUUGCAACAAGCUUAUUCCAAAUGUGCAUAUGAGUGCUUUGACAGAAGAAUAAAGCUUAAGGAGAUAAGGAAGCAUCGAAAUCUCCGUGUUCUUCAAGCUCAGAAUCAUAUUGAAUGUGAGAUGGCCAAGUUACAGGUCAUAUGCUUCAAUCUAUGCUACAAGCCCGUACAUUGUGCCAGCAUGUAUCCGUAUUGAUUUUACCUAUGCACCAGCUGCAAUCGUUUUUAGCUUAUCAUCCUCAAGAUCAGUCGGUGUGGCAAUACAUGAAGUGACAAUGGUGCAUUUAUGCUUCUAAUGCACUAAAAGAAAUGCUGGAGUUUGAAAUCUGACAAUUUUAUAUGUUGAUGGCAUGAACAAAUGGAGUUUUUGGUAGUUUCUUGAGACAAGAUUACCAUAUAUGUGUGAUCAAAGAAUUUGAUGAGAAUAUGCUUGGAGAAUUGUUACAGUUUUUGACCAUGUAUUCUUGCACAGAUUAUACUCUUUCUGGGCACCCACACGCAAUGAUAAGCAGCAAAGGACAUCACAUAUGAGUUUCAUUGCAACAGUAAUUAGUCCCCGCGCCUUUCUUACAUUGAAGUGAUUAUGACAUCAGAGACAAAAACACACAAAAAUGGGG